rnacentral:rRNA from 1 species
CCGGCCUAGUACCGAAAAACGAACCAAGUUACCCCAGGGAUAACAGCGCUAUCUUCUUUUAGAGUUCAUAUCAACAAGUUAAGGCUUACGACCUCGAUGUUGGAUCAGGACACCCAAAUGGUGCAGCCGCUAUUAAUGGUUCGUUUGUUCAACGAUUAACAGUCCUACGUGAUCU